UGAUGAUGAUGAUGAUGAUGAUGAUGAUGAUGACGAUGCUGAUGAUUAUGACGAUGACCAUAACAUCAUCAUCAUCAUCAUCAUCAUCAUAUUUA
rnacentral:pre_miRNA from 1 species